CACAGGUUGCUGGUUUGUUUGCCUUACUGUGUUGUACCUUGCCUGAACACCCUGUGAUGGUGACCUUGGUCAGUUGCCUGACUUUGUCUCUUGAUCAUGUUUAGACCAGGACUGAUCCUCUGUGUUUGGCAUUAGUUUGUUUGGAGUGUAUAGUAUCUGUAGUUGUGUUCUUAUUGUUGACAACCGUAAUUUAAGCUGCACAUUUUAAGAAGCUUCCAGCUUUUUCAGAGGACUAUGGCUGAUACAAACCAUCUUGUGGGAUUAGUGGUCAUCCUAAAAGUAUCCAUCUGAAGAAAAGUGGGCAUUUCUUAGGAGGCAAAGAAAUAAAAAAGACAUUUAAGUAGAGAAUAAAACAAAAGAAAAGAUUUAAAAAACCCAAUAUUAGUUGUCUCCAUUCGAGGUGAAAGGACAUGGAACACUGUGGCCAAGUCAUCUCUGUCCAAAAGGAGCUGAAGCUGGCAAACCAACUGGAGCUGGAGAAAGGCACUCUAGCCACUGAAGUCACCUGAGCCUCCAGUGACAACGUUGGAUCCAGGAGUAUUCCCAAGAUCUGGACCUGCUCUAUCCAGAGGAGUGCAACCUCAUCCAGAACAGGUUGUCUCCCUACCUCCCAGACCCAAGAACUCUGGACACAGAACACCUCUGUCUUUUCAGGAUUCAGCCUCAGUUUAUUGGCCCGCAUUCAUCCUAUUGCUACCUCCAAGGACUGGUUCAACACCUCAACCACCUCUCCUAAUUCAACUGAAUGGAGAGGUAGAGCUGGAUCUCAUCUGCCCAUUGAUGGGACCUCACCCAGAUCUCCUGAUAACAGCUCCCAAUGGCUUCAUAUAGAUGUUAAAUAGCAUGGGGGACAAGAUGGACCAUGUAGAGCACUACAGAACAGUUCCCUUGGUGCUGAGCAAUAGCCUCCCAUAACUAUGUUUUGGAAGUGGCUAUGGAGGUAUGUGGAGAACCAGUGAAGCACAGUGGACCCAACCUCCACCUCCCUGAGAUGCUCCAGAAGAAUACCAUGGUCAACAGUAUCGAAAGCCGCUGAGAGAUCAAGGAGAAUGAACAGGGUUGCAUUCCCACCAUCUCUUUCCUGGCCAACCAGGGUGACCAAAGUCAUGGCCAGGCCUGAAGCCAGACCAAGUAAUAGAUUAAAUGAUCUAAUUAGUAAGUAUAUCAAAGAAGAUCAGAUGGGCUUCAUAAAAAAUAGUACAUUACUAAUAAAUGUUAGAAAACCUAUUAAUAUAACUCACACUAUGCAAUUGGCCACUGUGAGAACAGGAUCCUGGACUAGAUAGGCCAUUGACCUGAUCCAGCAGGGCUCUUCCUAUGUUCUUAACUGAGUGGGAAAGGCAAAUUGCAUGGAUUCAUUCCACACAAGCCUCUCUCUCUCUCUCUCUCUCUCGUACAUGCACACACACACACACACACGCCCAGCCCAGCCCAGGUGGUUGUAAAGCUUUCAGAGUGAUAGCAACACAAUUGACUGAACCAAUAGCAAAAUGACUCCCAGACUGCUGCUAUAAAACAGGGGUAGGCAUAUUUCAAGUCUGUGCAAUUUACUUUGUUUUUUUGCUAGAACCCUAAGACAUAAGAAGGAAAGGAUUCCAAGCCCAAGAAUUUGUUCUGAGUACCAGAACUGAAUGGAGCUUGCAGCCCUUCCAUGCACAAAAAUACACUCUUGGUUAACCCCCCCUUCUUCAUUUCAACAAUAUUGUUAUAGGAUUGCGGGGGUGGGUUUGGAUGAUAUCUGUGAGACCCUGUUUAGUUUAUAGUUGCGUGCCUGUAGGAGAUGCAACCUGCAAAGGAAGAAACCUGUUCCACUGGUCAGACUAGUCACCUUUGUUAAUCUAACAGAGCAGCUCAUGGGUCUGUCAGACCCCCACAUUAACAAGUGUAAGAAUCUGCCAGAGAGGCAAUGUGGGCCAUUUAGGAUUCUUUCAGGAGAGAGGCCCUCCUCCCACAUCACCUGGCUGGAGGCUCCCCCCUUCCUGGAUGGUUGUAGUCUAGUCUGGAGAAGUGGGGAACGAAGGAGACACAGAGAAACCUACUCUCUGUGCCAUGGCUUUGGGGUGCAUCCCUGCAAGCCUCAUGGAAAAGCAAGUUCUACAGUACUGGACUGUUAAUGCCUUGAACCCUUCCAUCUUAAGCUCAGGUAGUGAAUGUGUGUAAAUAAACCAUAUAGCAUAAAGACACUAUAGUCUCCUCUGACCUUUCCAAGGAAACCAAACCUUGGGUAAGUACAGGGACCCCUGGAAGUCUUGCACUGCUUGGAGAUUGGGGCAGAGCACAAUAUAAUUGGGCAGAUGUAGGGGAGGCAUUAUUUUGUUGCUAUUGUUAAACAAUUGGGAAUCAGAAAUCCUUACUGAUUGUGUUCAGAUUACGCAAAGAUCUAGCAGUAGGUCCUGAUCUUUCUGCUCCCCUUCCUUGCUGAAAAGGGCUCCUUAGUCUUUAGAUGCAAAUCUGUACAGGUAUCAAUAGCUGCCUUUUGGUAAACAAUGUUCCACUCCAUUGAAGUUGCCUGCUUUACUGCUAAUUAAAGGCACAACAAAAGCAAUUUCGUGAAGUGGUAAU